rnacentral:tRNA from 1 species
GGGGGUGGAUGGGUCCGGUGGGGCCCGGUCUUCAAAACCGGUGGCGGGUGCUGUCGAGGCGGCCGCGGUGGGUUCGACUCCCACCUACUCCCGUUACCA